UCCUGUGGUUGCAGUUAAGAGCAACAUAAUCUGAUUUGAUCUACUCAAGCUUCAACUUUGGCCACCUUUCGCGGUUCUACUUGACCAGUUAGAGGGCACUGCAUUUCUGUCCAACUAAUUGGAACCAUGGUACCACCAGCUGCACUUUCAGCAGAUACAACACCCAGCUCAUUUUUUGCGGUUGACAGAUAAUAUGCUCUUGCAUCUCCAAGUGAUAGCACCAAUGCACGAAUAAUAUCACCCGGUCGGAAGGACAAAUGCAUGUCGACUUUGUCAAUCUCAGUUGCUCUGACAUCUUGUUGCCUAAUAAUGCCAGUAAAUUUCUCACGCACAGAUUUGGAAUCAACACACACUAUGUCUGCCGAUGCCGUUCUAGCCAUCACCUUAGUAACUCUAGCAAAAACAACGGAACCAGGCUUAGGAACUGCUCCAUGGGCUUUAUGACCAGUAACUUCGACUGUUGAUCUCUGAUCAACAGCGUCGGAAUGCGGAGGUAUAAGAGAACGGAACCCGGUAAGAGAGGCGUAAACAGUGCCAUUCUCAGUUGAAACGUAAGCCCCCUUUCCAGCUUUCAACUGUGAUGCUUUACCUAAUACUUGUCCUGGCGUGACCAACUCCUGGGUUUCAGCUUCCAUAGCCAUCGUCAUGCUCCAGCAACGGCUACUCAAACAAGUCCUCUCGAAAACAAAACUCUGUUCGGG
rnacentral:misc_RNA from 1 species